rnacentral:rRNA from 1 species
CACGGGGGGAGCAAGCGUUGUUCGGAAUCACUGGGCGUAAAGGGCGUGUAGGCGGUCAUGUAAGUGGGAUGUGAAAGCCCUCGGCUCACCCGAGGAUCUGCAUCUCAAACUGCAUGGCUUGAGUAUGGGAGAGGAUGAGGGAAUUCCUGGUGUAGCGGUGAAAUGCGUAGAUAUCAGGAGGAACACCGGUGGCGAAGCGCUCAUCUGGCCCAAUACUGACGCUGAGGCGCGAAAGCCUAGGGGAGCAAACGGG